rnacentral:rRNA from 1 species
CUACGGGACGCUCCAGUGGGGAAUUUUGGACAAUGGGGGCAACCCUGAUCCAGCCAUGCCGCGUGAGUGAAGAAGGCCUUCGGGUUGUAAAGCUCUUUCGGACGGAAAGAAAUCGCCAUCUUUAACAUGGGUGGUGGAUGACGGUACCGUAAGAAGAAGCACCGGCUAACUACGUGCCAGCAGCCGCGGUAAUACGUAGGGUGCAAGCGUUAAUCGGAAUUACUGGGCGUAAAGCGUGCGCAGGCGGCUUCUCAAGUCAGGUGUGGAAUCCCCGGGCUUAACCUGGGAAUUGCGCUUGAAACUGGGUAGCUAGAGUGUGUCAGAGGGAGGUGGAAUUCCACGUGUAGCAGUGAAAUGCGUAGAGAUGUGGAGGAACACCGAUGGCGAAGGCAGCCUCCUGGGAUAACACUGACGCUCAUGCACGAAAGCGUGGGGAGCAAACAGGAUUAGAUACCCCCGUAGUC